rnacentral:misc_RNA from 1 species
GAUGAAGAACGCAGCGAAAUGCGAUAAGUAAUGUGAAUUGCAGAACUCAGUGAAUCAUCGAAUCUUUGAACGCACCUUGCGCCCUUUGGUUAUUCCGAAGGGCAUGCCUGUUUGAGUAUCAUGAACACCUCAACUCUCAUGGCUUGCCGUGACGAGCUUGGACUUUGGGGGUUUUGCUGGCCUGCGGUCAGCUCCUCUCAAAUGAAUCAGCUUACCAGUGUUUGGUGGCAUCACGGGUGUGAUAAAACUAUCUACGCUUGUGGUUUUCCACCAAGUUUAACCCCCAGCGAUGGAGGUUGGCUGGGGCUCACAAACGACGUCUCUCUUCGGCGGGGACAGCUCUUUGACGUUUGAUCUCAAAUCAGGUAGGACUACCCGCUGAACUUAAGCAUAUCAAUAAGCGGAGGA